AUUGAACGCUGGCGGUAUGCUUAACACAUGCAAGUCGAACGAUGAGAAAGAGCUUGCUCUUUCGAUUAGUGGCGGACGGGUGCGUAACGCGUAGGAAUCUACCUAUUAGUGGGGGACAACUUAGGGAAACUUAAGCUAAUACCGCAUACGCCCUACGGGGGAAAGAAGGGGAUCGCAAGACCUUUUGCUAAUAGAUGAGCCUGCGUAGGAUUAGCUAGUUGGUGGGGUAAAAGCUCACCAAGGCGACGAUCCUUAACUGGUUUGAGAGAAUGAUCAGUCACACUGGAACUGAGACACGGUCCAGACUCCUACGGGAGGCAGCAGUGGGGAAUAUUGGACAAUGGGCGAAAGCCUGAUCCAGCAAUACCGCGUGUGUGAAGAAGGCCUUAGGGUUGUAGAGCACUUUCAAUUGGAAGGAAAACCUCGAAGCUAAUACCUUCGAGUUUGACAUUACCUUUAGAAGAAGCACCGGCUAACUCUGUGCCAGCCGCCGCGGUAAAAC
rnacentral:rRNA from 1 species